GGGUAUGCCAUAUCCCUUUUGCCAUUUCUUGCUUCACUUUCUAACUGUGAUUCAUGGUUUGAAAAAGUUGUCAAUUUAUUAUGUUUUGUGUUCAAAUGCCCCUAAUCAAUAAUCAAUUUAGUUUUGUUUUUGACUAUCACCUUAGAUCUUGAUAAUAAGUUUCUGCAGGUUUAGGCAUUGUCUUUGGAUAUCCCUUAUUUGUUGUGAAAGGUUUUGUUAGAGAUUUUGUUAUCUGGGAAAAGUGACUUGUACAGUUUUCUUUGAAGUAGUGGAAUGAUCUCAAUGGCUAUUUGCAUGUGAUUGAUACGAUUGUCAAAAUAUGAUGCUUGAAUAUGUUGAUAGUUGAUUUCUGAUUUGAACUUUCCACUGACUGUUAAUCCUAGUGCUGUCAAUUUUAUAACUAUAUCUCUUUUUGUUUGUAGUGGAUUUCCUUAGAAUAAUAUGCCCUUUUUUCUUUUUUUGUUACAGUCUGCUGAUGAAAUAUAUUUUAAGUGUUAAUUAUUGUUUGCCUUUUAUUUUUCAUGUGCAUCUGUGGUGGUGUGUUAUAUUUACAGCAAUAAUACUGGAGUUUCACAUUCUAUGUAUUAUAUUGAUUAUGUUCAAUUGUUCAUCCAUUACCUUUAUUCAUAAGAUGCAAUGUUAGUUGUGAAUCUGAUUUUCAUGGGUCUAUGUACUUGCCUUGAAGUAACUAUUUAUCCUUGGUAUGGCUUGUUCGAAGCUCCUUUACAAGUUCUUAUUUGUAGGUUGCAUUUAGUUAUGUUGUAAUUGUUUUUAGAAAGAUGGCUUUGUCAACAGUUUUGUUAAUGUGUUUUGAGUUUUUUUCCCCUUCUCUUUUAGGGUACAAGGAAGAGGUGGC
rnacentral:misc_RNA from 1 species